GACGAACGCUGGCGGCGUGCUUAACACAUGCAAGUCGAACGGAAAGGCCCUGCUUUUGUGGGGUGCUCGAGUGGCGAACGGGUGAGUAACACGUGAGUAACCUGCCCUUGACUUUGGGAUAACUUCAGGAAACUGGGGCUAAUACCGGAUAGGAGCUCCUGCUGCAUGGUGGGGGUUGGAAAGUUUCGGCGGUUGGGGAUGGACUCGCGGCUUAUCAGCUUGUUGGUGGGGUAGUGGCUUACCAAGGGUUUGACCGGUAGGCCGCCUGAGAGGGGGAACGGCCACCAUGGGACUGAGGGAGGGACCAGAGGCCUACGGGGGGCAACAGGGGGGAAUAUGGUCCAACGGGCCGGAGUCUGAUGAGAAAACCUCCGGGGCGGGAAGACGGCCUUUUGGGUGAGAACCGCUUUCGCCUGUGACGAAGCGUGAGUGACGGUAAUGGGUAAAGAAGCACCGGCUAACUACGUG
rnacentral:rRNA from 1 species